ACAAAACUAGUAUCAAUGUCAAGUUCUGGAGGCAGCACUCAGAGCCAGAUCCUUGAAUGUUUCCACUCUUGUAAAUACUUUUGACUGUUCCUUCAUUCCUCUCUACUUUUUUUGCUGUAACUGAUGCAAGAAUUUUCACUUCUGGAAAUGGGAGAGGGUGGGAGUGCGUGCAUGUGGCUUCAAGAGGAAUUGUUUGACUUGACCAAUUGGCUAUUGUUUGUUGAGCUAGUGUAAAAGAUGACUUUCAAACACCAGUGUUGUAUUUUAACAUGCUGUUAUGGGUUUUUUUUGGUUUUUCCUACUGUCCAAUGAUUAAAACCUAUUACUGCUGUUCACAUCAUGAAACGCUGUGAUUAGCACUUGACUGGAUGAGGACAUGGGUAAUAUAGCCUACCAAGGUUUUACUCUGUAAUAUCUCGGCUCUUCACUGGAAUUGACUUUGGCCUAAAUAAAACUUGUUUCCUUCUGGGAACUAAAGUGGCUUUUUUUUUUUCUGUUUUUUUGCUUCCUAUUUUAAUAGCUCAGUUGAGGCUUGCUCCUGUUCUUACUGUGGAUGGUGGGGUACCAGCAGGGAGCUGUGAAGCUUUAAGUUCAAAUGGAUCACAAUGUCAUCUUCAAAUAGUGAGAUCAUG